CUAGUUGAGUUGUAAAACUUUAGGGUUUUUGAUUAUUUGUGAAUGCUAGGAGUUCACAUGUACAAGUUGUACCAUUCAUCUUCUGGUUGGUGGAAUGAAUGGUGGGUUGCUUUCAUCACUUGGUUGGUGGUACGAAGGUGAGUUCCUUCGUCACCUUUCAUCACAUUUCAUCACCUGGUUGGUGGCACGAAGAUGAGUUCCUUCUUCACAUUUCAUCACCUGGUUGGUGGCACGAAGAUGAGUUCCUUCUUCACAUUUCAUCACCUGGUUGGUGGCAUGAAGAUGAGUUCCUUCUUCACCUGAUUGGUGAUAAGAGUGGCAAGUUGCCAAAUAAUAUUAGAGUACGGGUUGUACAUUUCAUCACCUGGUUGGUGGCAUGAAGGAGAGUACAGGUUAUACAUUUCAUCACCUGGUUGGUGGUAUGAAAAUGAGUUCCUUCUUCACCUGGUUGGUGAUAAGAGUGACAAGUUGCCAAAGAAUAUUAGAGUACGGUUGUACAUUUCAUCACCUGGUUGGUGGCAUGAAGAAGAGUACGGGUUAUACAUUUCAUCACCUAGUUGGUGGCACGAAUGUGAGUUCCUUCAUCACCUAGUUGGUGAGAAUAAGGGCAAGGUGUCGAGGCACAUUGUAGCAAGUGUCGAAUGACACAAAGUGUGUUGAACCCUUUCGAAGCACAGUUGGCUUAUGUAUGGAUGUGUUGGAAUGUAUGAUGUUUAUGUAUGAAUGUGUUGUAAUAUAUGAUGUUUAUGUAUGAAUGUGUUGGAAUGUAUGAUGUUUAUGUAUGAAUGUGUUGAAAUGUAUGAUGUUUAUGUUGAUUGACAUGAGUGAUGCUUAUGAAUGUUUUGCUAUGCAUGAAGGGAUACAUGUUUUUGGUAUGUGAACCAUGUUGGUUAUAACACUUAGUAUCACAUACUUUGUGUCAAAGUACGCAUGUUGAAGCUCUGAGUUGGAGUAUAGAGGUAGGUCAGCGUAGACCAAGUGUUCCAGUUCUAGGAAUGCAAAAGACUCAGCAGAAAUUGUCUGAAUUCCCUCUUCUUUAAAUAUUUGCCGAAUAGCUUGUGUGACAAAAAAUCUUAAGCCGUUGAGGGUCAAAACAUUUGCAAUGUGUUUGCCUUCUUAUAAUAGAAUUUCCUUCAGUACCUAGUCAUUCAUUUUGAAAGAGUAAGGCUUGACCCCAUAGUCAUAAUAGUCGACGGUACGUUCACCCCUGGUUGUCUUGAUACGAACUUGUAUCCUUCUUGUUGUAAUGAGCUUGCUGAGAGUAAAAUCAUUCCUCUUACCAAGAGACAAAUACGUUUGGUGACUUAGCGAGUAGCUAAAUAAGGCAGUAGAUGAUGCAAUGGGUGUCUGAAUGGCCAAGAUCUCCUCACUUGGUAGAA
rnacentral:lncRNA from 1 species